ACGUUUUUACUAAUGUGGGACAACUGGCUUUCACUUUCUCCAUUCCCAUGCCUUACCCAUCAGCAAGUUCUUCCUCUCCUUAGAUUCCAUCGUCAUAGAGCAGAGCUUUCUCUUGGAUAUUCCUGAUGUAGGUUCCCUCUUUAGCCUUUUUUUUUUUUAACUAUACACUUUGCAAGAUUAACUUCAAAGUAUGCCGAUUCCUAGAGCACAUCUUCGAACCUUUUUUAUGGACAGGUAGACUGAUCGAAAAGCAGUUGGUAAUAUAGGUAUAAGAGUUACCUACAGCGAUGGGAGAAAAUGAACUAACAAAAUAAUUUUUCCCAUGUUCUUCGACCACUAGCAAAUGGCAACCUAUGAAGCAUCUUUACAGGCAAGUCCACUUUGCAAUUGGUAUGGCAUCUUGAGAUCUUUGCACUUUUGCAUAACCAGUGUGAAUUUGUUCAAGUAUCAUUGGCACAAAUGGAAUGCUAAUUACCACGGCUAACCCGUAUGUGGACUCAAUUUGGGUCAAGGGUAUGGGUGAAAAACAAAUUCAAGUAGACAAGACCAUUUUACAUACUCAAGUAAGCAAUUUUCAUUUUGUCAUCAUAAAUUAUGCAUGUCUGUAGUGGUAAGUAACUUUCUGUCCAGUUCAUAUUUAAGUAGAGCUACAUAUCAACCCUCCAUAUUUAUUAACUUUCUGGACAAUUGUAGAGGUUGGAUUGUGGUGUGAGUAAUAUUUUGAUCAUUAGUUCUCAGACCUGAUUUUUUGCCUGUGAUAGUUUUCAAUUUGUUACUGGUUUUAUUGAUAUUUCAACUGGCCUUUGUAUGUGCCUUUGGCCUUCCCAAAUUUCAACAGCAAAAUGCUUCUUGCGAGCACCCCCACACCAAAUUUCAUAGAGAUGAGGUAUUAAAAGUUCACUGAUGCACUCCUGAUAGAUCAAAUGAUCUCGCAAGUAGCUUUGAAACCUUUUGAUUAGUAACCGUUAUCUUUAACUAAGUACUGUAUGAAAGUGCAGCAGGGUAUCUACUCCAUCUACUCUUGUGAUUGGAAGUGUUUCAUGAUAGAAAUCUAGAUUGCUGUUGGAUAAUUGCAUUUUCAUAUCUACCAGGUGUGCAUGUGUGUAUGAAUUAUGUGCCUCAUUUUGGAAAAAUCUUAAGGCUAGCGAGCUAUAUGUAAAUUUGAUAUAUGAACCAUUUAUUCAUGGGGUUUGAAUGAAGGCUCACCUCUUCUGGGCUUAAACUCAAGUCUACGCAUGACUAUUGUGACAGUAAUACUUUUUUGAUUUCAUCCGGAGGUUUUAGCUAUGUAUCAAUAUACAAGUGCUUUACCGAGAGUGUAAGUAUAACCCGACUUUGCUAAAACCUCGGUGUCCUUCCCAUUUAAAUUUUCCAUAUCUAUUAUUACAUUUAGCAUUGAAUUUUGGUUAAUUGAACUUCUUUUUCAGUUUCAUUUCGUCAGAAAGCAUGCCCCAAAGUAUUCAAAAUCAUCCUACAAAAUAAAGUUGUUUCUAUCGCGCAUCAGAUGAUGUGAAACAAUUACUACUUUACAUGAGGACGCAUGAUGUUCAUGUUGUAAUUCGAUAAUGAAAUAUUUAAGGAAUGCCUUCUGACAUCAAUGUGAAUGAACUCUAAAUUACAAAUGUUUGAGGUAUCUUAUGUGAUUGAGUUAAUUAUUGAUUCAUUUUCAAAGUUUGCUUAAAUGCUUUUGCUUGCACUUUCUUAUUACAUGCUUAGGCAAAAAGUGGUCAUAGAUGCAAAUUUUACAAGGUAAAAGGUUGUUCAAAGUUAUUACUUUAAUAACGCAAUAAAAUGACACCAGGCACCCAUGUGAAGCAUGGGCAUGCUAACUAUAUAAUAAGCAUGGGUCGAGGGUAUGACGAAGGGUAUUCCUGUUAAUAUUGACUGUUUUACGGGCAAAAUGAUGUCCUUCUCUUCCCUUAUAUUGAGCCAUCUUUUGGGAAACCAAAAGCCCACCGUUCAUCCUCUUCCAUUUAUUUGCUCUUCUUCUUAGUUUUACAAGGUUUUCUUCCAAAAUUCUAAAUCAGAAUUCCAUGUCGACUCUACUGAUUUUGCGUUUUGUAGGACAACUUUAAAUUCCCUUAAAAACUCUACAACCAGUCAUCCACACAGAAGUAACUGCUAAACACCUCUAUGAUGGUCGACUCUUUGGUAGAGAUUGAUCGUUUCAAUUGGGUUCUUGAUGCGUGAGUGCUUUGGAAGAUUCAAGAUUAAUUUUUGUGUGAAAAUUUGGAUAGGUUAUUCGUAGGUGAGUUUCACCCUUUCCCAUUCUCUGCUUGUUUUACUUCAUGUAUUACGCCCAAAGUUAGUCUAUUUUGGUAGUGGUGAAGACUUCAAAGUUUGUUGGUGUUUCGAUUUUGAACUGAUUGCAUAUAAUCUUAGCAUCAAUCUAACCUCUAUAAAGGUAUUUCUUCUUAAGAAUUGCCAAUCACAUAUUCCAUACUGAUGUGCUGGGCAAAUAGGGUAAAGAUAUAUGGGAGAGUACUAUUACAAUUGUCCUGUUGUGUUAAAUGCAUUAAUAAUUAAGCAUUUCAAAAUCGUUGUUUGCUUGAGUUUGCUUUGGCAAUAGCUACAUUGUUGUAUGGCAGUUACAGGUCUUCAACCAACAACAACAAAAAUGUCAGUGACAAAUGCCAUCAUGUUUCAUAGUUCACAAUGUCCCAAAAUUUGCAAUCAGGAUCCAUCACAAGGUAUUGGGGAUUUGUCGGGUUUGGUGUUUGUUGUAUUUUUGAUAAGUGAUUAAUGGGAAAAACUAUCGGCAUAUCGAGAGUUCUUUAAUACUUAGUUGAUCAUUUACCCAUUUGUGUCCUUUUUAUUUGAGUUUUCCCUUUUAUAUAUAGGGGUUAUUUAUGUUCAUUUCUAUUCAGAUGUAAAUGAAUUAGGAUUCACAUAUAUUCACACCCUAGUGAUUGAAGUUGAAAUGUUAGAUUUAUCAACUAAAGCCUCCAUUUCGGGACAUUCAUUAAAUUAGUCUGUCCAUCUAAACUAUUAUAUAUCGGAGAAUUCACUCUCUUAAUUCAAAUAGGUUGGUAGUUUUUAUGUAAUGGGGUGAGUGAGGAGGGCAGAAUAGGAUCAUAGGAUUUAGGGGUGACGUGUUACAAGUUAUUAAAUUUCUGAGCACAAACCAGUACCAAAAAUUCUAAUCUUCGUUAAAAAGUUUAAGAUCCAGAGCUUCGAAAUAUGCAUGGUUGGUGACAGACUGGAUACGGAUAUACUAUUUGGACAAAGUGGAGGCUGAAAACUCUUCUUGUUCUUUCAGGUAGCAGAAGGAAAAUGUGCUCUCCAAUUAGUCAUAUGCUACAAGUCUGUCAUCCAAUACUAUCUUUUAAUUGUGUUCUAAGUGUGACGUCUUUAUCGAUGCCUCAAGAUCCCAAAAUCUCUAGACAACCGGAUUUUUACCCCAACAAGAUUUCUGAUUUCCUCUCUAUCACAGCAGCUGCAGUUUGAGCCAGUCCACUAACAAUCUCCAUAUGGUAAUUCAAUUCUUUUGUCUGAAAUGUAUUUAGAUUAUGUACUUCAUAUGUACAUCCACUUCUCUUUAAUCUAAAAUGUGGGAGCUUGAACAUAGGCUAUCUGAGAUGCUAUUUAAUACAUUGUACUAAAGAGAUUAUGAAAUACCAACCAUUCAUACUAUUUGCCAAUAAAAAAAAACUUUCAAGAUAAAUGGUUCUUGAAAAAUUGAUAUAUGCGCUCAAGUACCUCUGCCAUGAAGUGGUAGCUAGCUUUUUUCAUUCUUCUUUUUUGGUUACUUGGUGCCUAAUGAUGCAAAUUAAUGGAAUAUCAUGGCAUGGGCAUAAGGAUCAAUUUUAUGAAUAUAGAAUGUAAAGACAAUUUUAUGAAUAUAGAAUGUAAAGACAAUUUUAAACUAUUCCCAUGGACCUAUGACCCUUUAACAAAUUCUAUAGCUCUCUACUCAGAUCUUCUUCCUCUUCACUUACAUUGACCGUGUAGAAGAUUCUGGUAGGUUACUAAAGUAAGCUAUAUCAGUUAUUUCCUAGGCGCCUUCAAUCUGUUAGUAAAUUGUUGAUUUGGUCAGUUGGUGAAAAUGCAAUACUUUACAACUCAUAUGGUACUUUGAAAACGAAGGAGAUUAAUUGCUCCCUGAGCCAUAAUUAGUGGAAUUAGAGAAAAAAUGGGUUAAUUUCAAAGAUGUUAAAAGAACAUGAGGAUAAUGAUCUAAUGAUGGAUCACAGAUAGGUAGUAUUGAAGUCGAUAAUUAUUAAGAUAAUUAUAAGGUUAUAAUCAUAGCAUUCAAUUCUACAUAAAACUGUGCUAAAAAACUGAAAGCUGAGAACUAAAUAUAGUCAGUACACCUCAAUACAUGGUUAGAUUCAUAGUUCUAAAGAUUGAUUACAUCUAAUAAUGACUUACUGCGAUGUUUUCUUGAUGAGAUAGUUGGUAUAUUUUUAUGCUGUAAUUAAAACGUGGAAUGGUUAUUGCUCAAUAGACUCUUUUGUGGAAGAAGUGAAUAUACUGGAAAAAUAACUUGACUGACGUUUUAUAUUACUCUUCUAUAAACUGAGUUACUGAGUAUUCUGUUUUAUGGCUUAGCAACUAUUGUAUUAGGAUUUGGUUGCUGCAGAUGUUUCAUGAACUGUAGAUAAGAUAUAUUGGAUGCUUUCUUGAAUGGUUCUCUAAACGAUCCAUUCCCUUCAAAACACUAUAUGCAUAUACUUUGAAGGACAAUUUUCUAAAAUACAUUGUGACCAUAUUAUUUAUUUAGUAGAUUCCCGAGUGUGGUUGGUAAAGGAACAAUGGAUAAGGUAAAGCCAGUUUUCAUUCAUUCUCUUCUUUAAAUAUUACUAAGAAAGUUAUAUAUGUCAAUAAUAUAUAAUUGUGUUACAAAAACGAUCGCCCAUAGACUCUCUGAAUUUCAUGAAACAAAACAAUGAUUUCCAACUUGACUAUUCCCAAUCAAAUAUGUAGGUACAAUACAAGUUUGAAUUGAUGUAGACCUUAAAGAUUGUUAAUAGUGUGCUUGUGAAUUUCCGUGUUGAUUUCAAAGUUUAAUGAUGACGACAAAUUUUGUUGCAUUGUAGGAAGGUUAACUUUCUAUCCUUCAACUAUGCCUACUGAUCUACCGUAUUUAUCAGUUUUGCUACCUAAAGUGUACCAAUAGUGUGGUGCUUGUGUCACGUCAAUAUUAGCUUUCGACGUAUACUGAUUUGAUUCUUCUUGUUUGGGGGAAUUAAAGAUUAAGGGGGAUUUAAGAUUUGUUGUUUCAAGGAAAUUACCUAAAAGAAGUUGAAAGAUAUGUAUUAAAAUAAUUGGGCAGGUUUAUUUUAGAUAUGAAAUUUUCAUGUUGCUUUGGAUGUGUCCAUAUGUAAAGCAUUACCUAUUAUUUGAUCCUUUCUAAGCGUCUACUAUGUAUGAUAAACAUGGGAAGCAAGCAAAAAUCUCAAACUCUUCUUCAAGGACAACCAGUCCAUCUAAACCACGAGCCCGAGAGGUGGUGGGAAGACAAAAGGGACGUAUUAUGACAGAUUAGAGGAUGCAAUACACAUAAAUGCAUUCCAUCUGCUUAUCUUGAUUAGCCUUUGAACGACUACUUGGAUAUUCUUCACAAACUAUUUAGAGAAGGGGUUUGUUAUCGUGGUCUUAUGCUCAUGAAAAAGACAUGCAUAGUUCUUGACCCUUAAUAGCCAGCUUCGGCCUGCUAGAUGUUGAUAGGCAUCCUCAUUUUUACUAUUUCAGAAUGUUUGGCCAGUUAGCUUAAAUUAUAAUUUACGAAAUUCAAAGAUAUUCUAAAUAAUGGUAUUGCUGGAGAGCAAGAAGAGAGUGGAUAAUACUAAAUUAGCAUAUGCUAUUGAGGGAUAACGUUCAUUCACUAUAGUUGUGUUAAUGAAAAUGCGAUUUAGGUAGCCAAGUUUUCCUUAGGCAAGGCAUAUUGCGAAUGAUUACAUUUUCACUAUUGGUCUUUUGAUAACUUCCUCAACAGAUGCUCAUAUAUUUUCUCCAGCUUUGUGUUUCUUAAAAUUGGAAAAGGUCAGAGUGGCGAGGCGAGGCAGGGUGAAAGAUUAUCUACCAAAGCUCGGAGAAAGAUGAUAUCUUAUACAGGAGCUUUGAAAUUUGCCCUUGAAAUUUAGAAUUGCAACAACACUCAUGGUAGUAGUAUGAACUGUUAUUGUGUCGUACAUGUAAUUGGUUUUGACAAUACGCUUGAAAUGAGCAUAUAAAUGUUUUUCCAUGUUGAAUCUUUCAAGUCAUUCUGUAGCUGGAGGUUGCAAACAAUGAAUCGAGAAAGGACGGGCACAGGCCAUUUAGUAUACACAUAUAUAUAUAUAUAAGGACGGGCACAGGUCAUUUAGUAUACACACAC